rnacentral:rRNA from 1 species
CCCGAUGGUAUCUUAAGCACGCAUGAGAUUAAGAUUAAAGAUUUAUCGGUAAGCGAUGGGGAUGCGUUCCAUUAGGCAGUUGGCGGGGUAACGGCCCACCAAACCUACGAUGGAUAGGGGUUCUGAGAGGAAGGUCCCCCACAUUGGAACUGAGACACGGUCCAAACUCCUACGGGAGGCAGCAGUGAGGAAUAUUGGUCAAUGGGCGAGAGCCUGAACCAGCCAAGUAGCGUGAAGGAUGACGGCCCUACGGGUUGUAAACUUCUUUUGUGCGGGAAUAAAGGAGCCUACGUGUAGGCUUUUGCAUGUACCGUAACGAAUAAGCAUCGGCUAACUCCGUGCCAGCAGCCGCGGUAAUACGGAGGAUGCGAGCGUUAUCCGGAUUUAUUGGGUUUAAAGGGAGCGUAGACGGGUUUUUAAGUCAGCUGUGAAAGUUUGGGGCUCAACCUUAAAAUUGCAGUUGAAACUGGAGACCUUGAGUACGGUUGAGGCAGGCGGAAUUCGUGGUGUAGCGGUGAAAUGCUUAGAUAUCACGAAGAACUCCGAUUG